rnacentral:lncRNA from 1 species
UCCAUAUCACAUUAGCUCCUGUGCUUUAUUCUGUUCUCAUAUAGAGGGAGAAAAUAAGCAGUGAUAAGGUGCCUUUUUUAAAGUUCAAAAAUCUGUUUCACUGCUCGCUAUCGCCUAUCCACCCUCCCCUGCCCAGAAUUACAGCAGACCCACUGAUAAGUCUUCGGACAUGUAAUUGCUAAACCAAAGUUGUAGUGUGAUAUAAGAACCCCUCAAGUUGGGAUGGCAUAAUAUGAAGUAAUAGUAAACUAGGUGUCGAGAAACCUGGGUCUCCUCUAAGCUCUGUAAUUUUCGAAAACUAUAUAACUUUCUUGGGCUUCAUGUUUCUUACACAUUAGUAACAAAAAACAACAACAAAAAAAGAGGAGUAAACAAGAUGACUUCUUAGGAUUCUUUUCAGGGCUAUGUUUGAAUCCAUUAAAUUACCCAAUUUCUCUCUUCUCUCAGCUCCUUUGGGGCUUUGCUCAAACGUCUCUGGGAAAACCUAUUUCAUUCAUUUUCAGUUUCAUGGUCUACUUUUUACAUAUCUGUCUUCCUUGCUGGGCAGUGGGUUUCUCAAAAACAAAAAAUAAUUUUUAUUCAGUUUUACAUAAACCUAGUUGAAUGCAGUAAACAUAGCAGUUGUGGAAAGAGUGUUAGUUGAAUGAAUGUGGACAGCUUUGGACAAUCAAGCUAUAAUUUAUAUCACUUAUCCAACAAUAUGCAGCAAUAUUGAAUGUAAGCAUCAAGAAAUAAUGUUUGCUGAUUCUGUUCCCUUACCAUUAAUUUUUUAAAAAUCAAUUAAAUAAAAUAGAUUAAAAAAUAUACUUACGGCUGUGCUUCCAGCUCCCAUUCUAAUGGUCCGACACAGGAAGACUUUCUGAAGUAGUUUUCUUUUGUUGUAUUUGCUUUGAGCUAAAGAAAAUUCCAUGAUGAGUACCAGACUCUUAAAAGAAGGAAGACAGAGAGGGUCAUUGUUUAGUCUCAGCUUCUUUGUUGGAUAUUUCUCACUACCUUUUAAUAUAGGCUAAUGAAGCCUUAGGUCAGGUACCAAUUUCACCUACUAGUGAUUCAUGGGAAGGUAGUGAUUUUGUCAGAAAUUGUUGGGCUGUGUGUUUUUAAUUAGCAUUUCAAUUUACCUUCAAAUACUCCGUUCCAAAAUCAGUAGAUUAUUUCUCCUACAGAGGCCUUAAAACUUCCAGAUGUGUUUACUGCCCUGAUUAGAGCUUGCUUCUUUUGCUAUUGACUAGAUUUCAGUUUUCUUUAGAAGAAUAUCAUUAUAAUCCAAAAUGAGUUGUACUUCUUAGAUUGUAAAUUUGUUUCAACAUAAACAAGUCUAUCUCCAGCUGGCUGGGCUUCUAAGUGGAAAAGUGUAUCCUCGGAAAAAAGCUCGCUUCGUGGAGACCUGGCACAGGUGGGGGAGAGCACCUUGACAAAGCCCUCAGUCAGCAUUAUAACCAGAAGGUCUUGCAAACUGAACAGGUGCUUUUAUGUGUUUACAAGUGGUGGACAGGCUGCUAUACUAGACAUUUGCUGUGGUGACUCCUUGAUUGUAUCCUCAGUUCUUUAUAAAAUGAAACAUUUAAAAAUAUUUUUUAAUAUUUUUACUUUUUCUGUUAUAGUUGAUUUACAAUGUUCUGUCAGUUUCUGCUGUACAGCAAAGUGACCCAGUCAUUCAUAUAUAUAUAUAUAUAUAUAUAUGCACACACACACAUAUAUGUAUAAUUAUCCUCCAUCAUGUAGUAUAUUAGAAUAUGAUAAAUCCAUUGGUGCAAAGGAAAAUCAUUUUUUCUUGCUUAAAAAUAUGUUAAAAAGCAUUUCAUCCAUCUUUUUUUUUUCUUUGAGUGGCCACAUCCAAAACAGUGGAGUGUGACCAGUACAAAACAGUCUUACAUGGUUCUCUCCCUGUGCUCAUUGAAAUAGAAGGUGCUACCAUGUUGCAAUAAAUAGCUCAUCUCAAAUUCGAUGAUGCCUGAUGAGAAUCCUCAGUCACACUUCCCAUUCUGAUUGCUAUUGGCCGGGAAAUCAGCCUUUGUCCCUGCUCAGGAGGAUGGCAUCUGAUCCUCCUUCACCCUAUCAUUCAAGCUCCAUUAUUGUUAUCCCCCAAGCCUCAGUGUGGCAAAGGGAAGUGAAGAAACACCUGGAAAAGUAUCUGUGAAUGAGAAGUUAUGGAAAGCUUCCUGAAGACAGAAUCUCUCCAUGGCUUCUUCCCACAGAGGUAGAAGAUGCCAGAAUCCCUGGGCGAGAUGAUGAUAAUAAAGAAAAGACAUGAUUUUUAUACUAGCAAGUCAGAAAGAUGAAUGUAAGAGCAGCGAGAUGAAGAGGAAGGAUUUCUUUCAUAUGAAAAUCAAUGUAGAAUCUUAGUUCCCUUAGAGACAUUGGCAAAACAAUACUUUGCUUGUCAUAGAAUGGACAUUCAGUAAAUAUUUUGUUAAUGACCUUAAUAUGUAGUAAAAUAGAGAAAUGGAAGUGUUGACAAGAUGUAUGUGGAGAAUUGGGGGCAAAGGGAUGUGGAAGGAUUGGGUGAUAACUAGGAUCUAAGCUCAUAAUGCAAAUUUGAUAUCAUUCUCCUUAGAUUAAGGAUGGUACCCACACUUGACGUCCGGCUUUCCCAAGUGGAUCUUGUUCAUGACCCUGGAAACUUCCAGAAAUUUCUAACAUUUGAAACAAGACAUGUUUUGAAGUCAUGGAGACAGGUUUUGAAUUUUUUUCGUGGGGCUUGGUAGGACUGGGGAGACACAUCCAGUUUGCCAGCUCUUAGUAUAUUGUCAUCACAGAGCAUAAGAUUAUAAUUCUCUUUACCUUUGUCCUGUACACUUGAGUGUUUUUAUUUAAUCUUUCAGUACAUAUAAGGCAUGUGAGAGUUAAUUAUGUCAUCUGAAAAGUACUUUGAAAACUACUUAGGAAAAGAUGCUGGAUAAAUAAGACAUUUUAUUAGCUUACAGGAUGCAAGUUUGGCCAAGCUAGUGGUAUUUUGGGGAUCACUUUUUUAAAAAAUCAAAGACAGAACACAUAUUUAUUUUUUCUUUUUUCUUUUUUUCUUUUUCUUUUUUUUUUGUCUUUUUUUUACUUGUUUUUUUCCCACUGUACAGCAAGGGGAUCAAGUUAUCCUUACAUGUAUACAUUUUUUUUCCCCAUCCUUUGUUCUGUUGCAAUAUGAGUAUCUAGACAUAGUUCUCAAUGCUACUCACCAGGAUCUCCUUGUAAAUCUAUUCUAAGUUGUAUCUGAUAACCCCAAGCUCCUGAUCCCUCCCACUCCUCCCUCUCCCAUUGGGCAGCCACACGUCUGUUUUCCAAGUCCAUGAUUUUCUUUUCUGUGGAGAUGUUCAUUUGUGCUGGAUAUUAGAUUCCAGUUAUAAGUGAUAUCAUAUGGUAUUUGUCUUUGUCUUUCUGACUCAUUUCACUCAGUAUGAGAUUCUCUAGUUCCAUCCAUGUUGCUGCAAAUGGCAUUAUGUCAUUCUUUUUUAUGGCUGAGUAGUAUUCCAUUGAAGAACACAUAUUUAUUGACAUUCAAGCUAGGAAGGCAACACUAAUGAUGGACACGAUGUGACUAUGGAAUAGCUGACAAUCAUACAAUUUAAUGAAAAAUUACAGAAUGUAAAUGCUACAUUUAUUUAGAGAGAAGGGAGAUCAUUUGGGCUAAAGUGUUUGAGGAGAGAACUUAUGAGCAAAGUGACUCCAGAGCCAGGACAUAAAAUCUGGUAAAUUUUUUUGAUAGUUUGGUGUUUUAUGUGAGGAGUUCAGGGACUGAGCACCAGGAGGUAUAUCUGGGGCUCUCUGGGUUACUUGUAACAGGGAAUGGGCAGGGUGUGCUAGGCUGUGGAUUUGUUUUCCACUGGAAGCCCUUCUCUUGGCUUAUUACAGAUGCUGCAUACAGGUCUUUGCUGGGGAUGGCCACUGUUGCAAGUGUCUCUGCAAACUUCUUUUGUAUGAACGUUGUAUAAAUUCUAUUUUAAAACUUCUUUAACAGUACCCCAAGAGACCUAUUAAAGAUAGCAAUAGCAUGGCUUCCUCUCAAGAAUGGAUCUGAAAUGGACCCUACAAUGGUAGAGUUGGCCUGGGAUUUCCUCCUUCAUCCCCAAUUCCUUGCCACCUGCUUAUGCUGACAGUCUUGGCCCGAUAGAGCCAUAGGGCCUCAUAAAAUUUGAGAUUAUCCACCAGUGAUUCUCUGCUAUUCCGCUAAGCAGGGCCUAGUGGCAUUUGGAAAUAGGGUUGACUACAAAGAGUUAGAAGCUUUUAGUGCCCAGAGUCAGGGAUGCUAAGUCUCUUUCAUGCCAGGGGCAGCCCUGCCCAGGAAGAAUGCCAGUAGACCCCUGUUGAAAGCUGAGUGCAACAUCCUUACUUUAUUUAGAGGUGAGGAAAUGAGAGUGACAAGACUUCCCUAGGAUUAAACUCCAAUGCGGCCAUGACAGAUUUAUAACCCAGUUGUUCUAGGCUCUUUUCAAGGGCUCCUUCUGCUACACCACAGUCCCACUCAUAAACAUUGAUUUUCACCAUGGAAUAGCGUGCUGUUGAGCUUUGUCAUUCCCAUGUGCGGGUGACAAUCAGCCAUGUUAACUACCUGAGUUGGGGGUUAUGAAUUGAGACAAGUGACACUUGAACAGUGGUUUUUUUUCUCUGGGGACACAGAGAUUUGCCCGUGAGUGAGGGUUGGCAGAUGCCCUCUGAGGUGGCAACCACUGCAGAAGCCUAACGGUAGGUUGGCAUUCUGGAAGGGCCUGGAGGAGGCUUUGGAAUCACACAAAUCUGGCUUGUUGGAGGCACUUGAAUCCAGCUCAGCCCUUUACUACCUUUAUGACUCUCAGCAAGUUAAUUAAACACUCUGAACUUUAUCUGAAAAAUGGGGAUGGUGAUUCUUACUUCGAAAAGCUGUUGUAGUUUCAAUUUAUUUAAACAACGGCUGGCCCAAGAGAAGAGACUGUUCUAAGAGAAGAGACUUAAAACCUUCACUCAUGAAAGAUCACUUGAAGCUAAUUGCUGCUUUUUGCCCCCUCCUCCUUUCUCUGAUCCACCAAAGUUAGGGCUUGAAUGAGUCCUUGAAGUAUCUCUUUUGUUUGAAAUAUUGAAAUUUCCCUCCUUUGGAAGAGGACUGCUGGCCAGAGCUUAGUUUCUUGUGACUUCUCUGUUAAUGUGCCCAGACUGUUACCACACCACAGAAAUGAAAAGUCUACCAGAUGUUUACUGGUGGCUUAUGAAAUUUCACUUUUCUUUCUUUUUUUUUUUUUUUUUUGCCUUUUCUAGGUCUGCUCCGGCAGCAUAUGGAGGUUCCCAGGCUAGGGGUCUAAUUGGAGCUGUAGCUGCCGGCUUACGCCACAGCCACAGCAACUCAGGAUCCGAGCCAUGUCUGCAACCUACACCACAGCUCACGGCAACGCCGGACCCUUAACCCACUGAGCAAGGCCAGAGAUCAAACCUGCAACCUCAUGGUUCCUAGUCGGAUUCAUUAACCACUGAGCCACAAUGGGAACUCCCAGAUCAGUAAUAAAAGCCAUUCCUGGAUGUAUAUGUUUGUCAGAGAGAUUUCUCUCUGUCGAUGAUGAGAGACCCUUCAUAGGCAAAGUGAUACUUCUUCUGAGUUAAGGGACAGUUGAAAGUUGGCCAGUUGGGGUGGUGGGGAUUAUGGUAAAAGGCCUUUCUGGGUAAAAAAUAGCUUAUGAGGAUACAUCGUAAUGCAGGAGAACCCAGAAGGGUGCACACAAAAGCCAAAGAGUGUUUCAGGCCUUGACUUUGAAAACAUUUGCAGACUCUGACCCCCAAGGGCACAUUUGCCCAUUAUUGAAAUGCUUUAAAGUUGCUUCUGUUUGUUACAAGUUAAUUCUCUUAAAGGCAAAAUCAUGAGUCUUCUACAGAUAGAAAACGAACAGACGUAAAAUAAUACAGAUAUUAAUUAAUGAAGGAACUUGAAGAGAUGUUAUAGCUAUUUUUAAAAAGAAGUAUGAGUGUAUAUACAGUAGCAGAACGUUGAAAUGAAUCUGCAAACUCUGAUCCAUCUGUAGAGCAGUAAUCAGUUACAUUCCACUGGAUACAACUGAUUUGCAUUCAUAUGGACAAAAAUCAAUUCUACAGCUCAUUUUUACAACUUCUGAUGCCUUGUAACAGUAAAAUAGCAUCGUCAAAGACAAAGGCCCAGACCUCUAUGGGAUCAGUUAAUUCCUGGAGGCACAACAUUCCAUUGAGAAGAUAUUCAGUAAUCUCCUUGCUCAUUUCACAGUCCAGAGUUUUUCCUUAUACCUUCAUGCUUCCAUUGGCCAUUGUUCCUUCUUGACCUCCUAAUUCAUAACGAAUAUUUGGUGACACAGGAUUCUUGUAACUUCGGGAAUUUUCUGUCUUUCCUAGAUAUAUACUUAUUCAAAAAAACUUAAUUAUGGGAAAUUUUAAGCAUGUAAAAAGUAAAGAGAAUAGCAUUUUGAACCCCAGGUACCCAUUACUCAGUUUUCAGAGUCAUCAAUAUUUUGCUAUUUUUUUUCUUUGGUGGCCACCCCUGACAUGCAUGGAAGUUCCUGGGCCAGGGACUGAAUCCUAGCCACAGCUGAGACUUACACAGCGGCUUCGGCAAUGCCAGAUCUUUUGACCCACUGCAGUGGGCAGGGAAUCAAUCCGAGACUCCUCAAAGACCAGAGCCACUGCAGUCAGAUUCUUAACCACUGCACCACAGCAGGAACUCCAAUAUUUUGCUAUCCUUAUUUCAUCUUUCCGCCCUGCCUCUCCCUGAGUAUUUUAAAGCAAUCUCAGACAUCUUGUCUUUUUAAUAUAUGUGUUUAACAAGUAAUCCUCCUAUUUUCUGAAUAGCAAUAUGACCUGUAUUUUAUGGAGAAUAGAGAGAUAAUACUUUAUGAAAGGACAUUAUACUCUUUAGACUUGACUUUGUGAUAUGAAGGAGGCGUGUGUGUGUGUAUGUGUGUGUUCAUAUACACACACAGACACAUACACACACAUAUACAUCCAUGUAGGACCGGUUCCCUUUUGUCAUUCAGGGUCCAGCUCAAAUGUCACUUUCUCCAAAGGAAUCUUCUGACCCCCAGCUAGGUCAUGCUGUCAUAUAACCCUGCUUUAUUUUCUUCACAGCACUUAUCACUAUCUAAUAUUAUCUUGUUUAUUAAUUUGUUUUUCUAUUUUUUUUGUCCAUCACCACCAACAAAGAUGUAAACUCCCUAACAGGACAGACCUUUUCUGUCUUGGUCACGUUAUAUCCCAUAGAAAAUCCUUAGUAAGUUUUGAUUGAAUAAAUACAUCUUAGUAUUAAGUAUUAAUAGAAGUUAUAUUGGCAUUCUUCCAAAAAUUUUAUUUUCAUUCUACACACCCAAAAACACAUGACUUUCAUGUGCCAAUUCCUAGUGUAUUUACAAUUAUGUGAGAUUUCCUCAUGCUAUGGAUCAAGGAGCUCAUUCUGGGGAAUCAAAGAUAACCCAGGACACCUCUCCAAAAAUGGCCUGAAACUGAUAUAUUCAGUAGCCACUUCAUCUGAUCAGCAAAUAUAGUUAAGAAUUUGUAUUUCUCCCAGAAGGAGGCCAUAACAUAAGGAUUCAGGUAAAAUCUUAUGUGGGAAAGUGAUAAAGGGAAGGAAAGGAGCCAGUAAAGGGUGCAUUGCCAAGAAAGUUACCACCAUUGUCAGCUGGAGUUGAUUAUCUUCCCGAGAGAUUUUGGGACCUUGGGCAAAACACACGUCUCAGAGACCUCUCACCCAUGGUUGAAAGAAUUUGAAUAUUUACCCACCAACUUCCAUCUGUCAUUAUUCCUGGUCACUAACACAAUAGGGUUGGGGGGCAAAGUGGUCUCCAGAUGCAGAAGAAAACCUCUAGGCAAAGAAAUACAGGUGCUGGUGGUUAGAAAUGGGGCCCUGUGUGGUAGUAGGGGUGAGGGAGUUUGGCUGGGGAAGGGACAGGUGACUUGCAUGGGAUAACAAUAUGAUUUUUUAAAUAAAUAUUUUAUUUGGUAUUAAUUUCAGGUUUACAGAAAAGUUGCAAAGACUGUAAAGCCCUGUAGAGUUCCUGUAUAGCCCUUGUCCAGUUUCCCCCAAUAUUAACAUCCACAAUCAUGGUAUAUUCGUCAAA